rnacentral:misc_RNA from 1 species
CAAGAACUGAUUGGAAUUUCUUGUGCUUUUGAGCAAGCUGUUAAGCGCCUAUCAACGUCAGUUACAAUGGUCACAAAGGGUGUUCUCAAAGACCACCUAGUUCUAUUGGCUAAUAGCAUGACAUGCGCAGGAAAUCUGGUUGGUUUCAAUGCUGGUGGAAUAAAAGCAUUAUCUCGAUCAUUAAAUGUGCAGAUACCAUUUACAGAAGCAACUCUAUUUACCCCAAGAAAAUGCUUUGAGAGGGCUGCUGAAAAGUGCCAUGUCGAUUCUUUGUCAAGCAUCGUGGCUUCUUGCUCCUGGGGAAAGCAUGUGGCAGUUGGUACGGGAUCUCGAUUUGAAGUCCUCUUGAACACAAGAAAUGUUGAAUGGAAUAUACCAGAUACACGUGAUGUUUAUAGCUUCCUACACUUGGUGAGGAACACCUCUGCUCAAGAAGUUGAAGGUACCAGUUGUCUUGGUGCAGAAAUUGAUGAACUAGAGGAAGAUGAAGAUAUGGGAUUGUACCUGUCUCCCAAUCGGGACUCUGGUUCUGAAAUGCCCACUUUUGAAGAUAGAGCUGAAUUUGAUUAUAAUGAGAACUUAGAUGAAGGAAAGCCAAGUGGCUCUGCAUGGGAGAAGGCCUCAUCUGGGAGUGUCAAAUCUGGUGGUAGCUGGGACAUGGCUGGCAAAACCCAAAAUGGCGCUGAAGAGGGUGUCAAUCAGUCAGAUUCCUGGUCUGCUUGGGGUAAAAAGGUUGAUGGAAGUAAUACUCAGCAAUCUGGGGUUACAGAGCAGUCAGAAUCAUGGGGGAAAAAGGGGGAAACA